UCAACUCUUGUUCCAUAGUGUAAACUGAAAAGAAAUACGUUACAGAUUAGAUAUAGUUACGGGGCCUGCUGAACAAAAAACAAAUAUAGAUGCCACAUCAGAUAGGAGCGAAAUAGUGUCAUCAAAAUGUUUUAUGGGACUAAAAUAAAUCAUCAGGUAUGGCAUAGAUCAAACUUAUUUUAAAUAGUGAGAACAGUACUUACAUUAAUGAACUGCUCAUUAAAAAU